rnacentral:rRNA from 1 species
GACGAACGCUGGCGGCGUGCUUAACACAUGCAAGUCGAACGGAAAGGCCCUGCUUUUGUGGGGUGCUCGAGUGGCGAACGGGUGAGUAACACGUGAGUAACCUGCCCUUGACUUUGGGAUAACUUCAGGAAACUGGGGCUAAUACCGGAUAGGAGCUCCUGCUGCAUGGUGGGGGUUGGAAAGUUUCGGCGGUUGGGGAUGGACUCGCGGCUUAUCAGCUUGUUGGUGGGGUAGUGGCUUACCAAGGCUUUGACGGGUAGCCGGCCUGAGAGGGUGACCGGCCACAUUGGGACUAAGAUACGGCCCAGACUCCUACGGUAGGCAGCAGUGGGGAGUAUUGCACAAUGGGCGGAAGCCUGAUGCAGCAACGCCGCGUGCGGGAUGACGGCCUUCGGGUUGUAAACCGCUUUCGCCGGUGACGAAGCGUGAGUGACGGUAAUGAGUAAAGAAGCACCGGCUAACUACGUG